rnacentral:lncRNA from 1 species
UUGGGAGCAUUGCCUCCGUUCCAUAGGCCAAUUUGAAGGGAGUUUCUCCGGUGCUUGUCCGAGGACUAGUUCGGUAUGACCAGAGGACAUGAGGUAGUUCUUCUGGCCACUUGCUCUUGCUUUCUUCAAGCCUUUUUUCAAUUCCUCUCAGGAGGAUCCGGUUGGUGACCUCUACCUGGCCAUUUCCUUGAGGAUAGGCGACUGAAGACUUCUUGUGCUUGAUGCCUCUUUCAGCCAGGUAGUUUUCAAAGUCCGAACCUAUGAACUGGGGUCCAUUAUCUGAGACCAGGACUCUCGGUAGCCCGAAUCUCAUCAGGAUGUUGUCCAUGAACCGGAUGACAUCUUGCUGGUUGAUGGUCCGCAUUGCCUUGGCUUCAACCCACUUGGUCAUAUAAUCAAUGGAGACAAGCAAGUAUCUGAGGUCUCCUUUAGCCCGGGGAAAGGGUCCCAUGAUGUCUAUUCCCCAUACAGCAAAGGGGAUCGGGGAUAAAACUGAGGAAGGUAGGACAGGGCUUACCCGGGGCACGUUGCUGAACAGCUGACAGUUCUUGCAUCUUUUCACAAAUUCCAUAGCGUCUUGGUGUAUAGUUGGCCAGUAGUAGCCUUGCCGGAUGAUUUUAUAUGCCAGGCCUUUUGCCGACAUGUGAUCUCCACAGAUCCCUUCGUGAACUUCUCUUAGACAAUAUUCGGCCUCCUCCGGACCUAUGCAUUUCAGGAUUGGGGAUGAGUAGGUCCGGCGGAAGAGUGUUCCUUCUUCGACAAAAAAUUUGGCCGCCUUAGCUUUCAGCCGUUGUGCUUUUCCCUUGUCUUCAGGUAACUCUCCCUUCUCUAUGUAGUUGAUCAGGGGAGUCAUCCAGGUAGGGUUGUUGUUGAUUUCGAAAAUUUCUUCAUGAUCUAUUGUUGGCUUGUGCAAUUCCGCGAAAUAGACUGAGCUAUCCAGGUCUGCUGAAUUUUGGACCAACCUGGAGAGGUUGUCUGCUUCAGCAUUUUCUUCCCUGUUGACUUGCAAGAUCUUGCACCCGGGGAUCAGAGUGAGGUAGCCUUUUACAAAGGCCUGAUACUUGGUCAGGAUCGGGUCUUUGGCAAGGUACUCCCCAUUGGUCUGUCUGACCACGAUCUGGGAAUCACUGUAGAUGGUGAGGUUCCGGAUUGACAAGGUCCGGACCAACCUCAAUCCCGCUAAUAGGGCUUCAUACUCUGCUUGAUUGUUGGUUGCUGCGAAGUUGAAAGAGAUUGCUGUUUUGAUGGUGAACCCAUCCGGGCUCUUCAGGAUUAGCCCGGCUCCUGACCUUUCGGUUGUUGAGGAACCGUCGACAUGGAGUAUCCAAGACCCCGGGUUAGACUCUACCGGGGUUCCAGGUUCGGUUUCUAUGGGAGUUGUUUGAUUUUCUGGGAAGUUGCAUUCCACUACGAAGUCUGCCAGGACCUGGGCUUUGGCUGCUGUCGGGGGUAGAAACGUUAGGCUGAACUGGCUAAGUUCGAUUGCCCAGUUCACCAGUCUCCCGGAGAUGUCUGGCUUGUGAAUGAUUUUCCUUAGCGGUUGGUCUGUGACAAUCCUGAUUUCUCUUCCUUGGAAGUAAUGUCUGAGUAUUCUGGAUGCGGUGAUCAGUGCGAAAGCAAAUUUCUCUAUCUUGUGCUUGAUGCCUCUUUCAGCCAGGUAGCUUUCAAAGUCUGACCCUAUGAACUGGGGUCCAUUAUCUGAGACCAGGACUCUUGGUAGCCCGAAUCUCAUCAGGAUGUUGUCCAUGAACCGGAUGACAUCUUGCUGGUUGAUCGUCCGCAUUGCCUUGGCUUCAACCCACUUGGUCAUAUAAUCAAUGGAGACAAG